CCUCUGCUCAUGCUCACGAGAACCUCAACCCGGCAAACCUCCCAGGCCAGCCCUGGCUCCACCAUGGGCCCCAGGCUCCUCUGCUGUGUGACCCUCUGUCUCUUGGGGGCAGGUCACGCAGAACCCGGAGUCUCCCAAUCCCCCAGGCACAGGGUCACGAAGAGGGGCCAGAAUGUAUCUUUCACCUGUGAUCCCAUUUCUGGGCAUGUUGUCCUUUACUGGUACCGACAGACCAUGGGGCAGGGCCCGGAGUUUCUGGUUUACUUCCAAAACGAAGAGGCAAUGGACGAGUCAGGGCUGGACAAGACUCGGUUCUCUGCCAAGAGGCCCAAGGGGACCAGAUCCACUCUGCAGAUCCAGCGUGCAGAGCAGAGGGACUCGGCUGUGUACCUCUGUGCCAGCAGUCUCACCACAGUGGGGCACAGUCACCUCCUUCCUCUUUACAAACCUCAGACUCCCCUCUCCUUGCUGUGGCUGGUGCCCCUAAACAGGCUCUCUAGUCCCCAGUGGAAAGAAGUGGGACAUCAGCUGUCCUGUGGGUAGAAAGAGACACAAGAUAAAC